AUCUGACUGGCUCAGUCGGUAGAGCAUGUGACUCCUGUUCAUGGGUUGUGAGUUCAAGCCCAUGUUGGGUG
rnacentral:tRNA from 1 species